rnacentral:ncRNA from 1 species
GGUGUAGCUCACCCUGCUAGCCUGUGCGGGCCAGUCACCUCCGCAGGGAGUAGGGAACCCGGUGCGAAUCCGGGACUGACGCGCAGCGGUGAGGGGAUGACGAGGCGGGCCACAUGCCACUGGGAGUGCAUGCUCCCGGGAAGGCGGCCUGCCGAGGACGACCCCCGAGUCCGAAUACCUGCUGGCAUCCGCGACGGUGU